rnacentral:rRNA from 1 species
AUCCAGACUCCUACGGGAGGCAGCAGUGGGGGAUAUUGCACAAUGGGGGAAACCCUGAUGCAGCGACGCCGCGUGAGUGAAGAAGUAUUUCGGUAUGUAAAGCUCUAUCAGCAGGGAAGAAAAUGACAGUACCUGACCAAGAAGCCCCGGCUAACUACGUGCCAGCAGCCGCGGUAAUACGUAGGGGGCAAGCGUUAUCCGGAUUUACUGGGUGUAAAGGGAGCGUAGACGGUUAUGUAAGUCUGGAGUGAAAGCCCGGGGCCCAACCCCGGGACUGCUUUGGAAACUGUGUAACUGGAGUACAGGGGGGGCAGGCGGAAUUCCUGGUGUAGCGGUGAAAUGCGUAGAUAUCACGAAGAACUCCGAUUGCGAAGGCAGCUUACUAAACUGCCACUGACAUUGAUGCUCGAAAGUGUGGGUAUCAAACAGGAUUAGAUACCCUUGUACGU